UACGGGGGGGGCAAGCGUUGUUCGGAAUUACUGGGCGUAAAGCGCGCGUAGGCGGCUUUUCAAGUCGAGUGUGAAAGCCCCAGGCUUAACCUGGGAAUUGCGCUCGAUACUGUUGAGCUAGAGUGUGGAAGGGGCUACUGGAAUUCCCGGUGUAGUGGUGAAAUGCGUAGAUAUCGGGAGGAACACCAGUGGCGAAGGCGACUACCUGGCCCAUUCUUGACGCUGAGGCGCGAAAGCUAGGGGAGCGAACGGG
rnacentral:rRNA from 1 species